GAUCUGCCCGGUAGAGGGGGAUAACCACUGGAAACGGUGGCUAAUACCGCAUAACGUCGCAAGACCAAAGAGGGGGACCUUCGGGCCUCUCACUAUCGGAUGAACCCAGAUGGGAUUAGCUAGUAGGUGGGGUAACGGCUCACCUAGGCGACGAUCCCUAGCUGGUCUGAGAGGAUGACCAGCCACACUGGAACUGAGACACGGUCCAGACUCCUACGGGAGGCAGCAGUGGG
rnacentral:rRNA from 1 species